UGAAAUCCGUCCUCCAGUGCUGCUUCCCCCCACUGCUCCCCCCCUUUCAACUUCAAAUGGGGGGUUCAAGCGUCCUCCGGUUAACGAGUCUCAUCUGCAGACAGGUGCUAAAUUCAAAUUUUUCGUAUGAGGUGACAUACUAUGAGAAAUAAAUAUAAUACAGUUUCUAAUACCUUGAAGUAGGUGAAACAAUAAGGCUGAAAGACAUUUUUUCUAAAAUUAGGAAAGUUAAGAAUAUGAAAAUUCCUUUGAAAAAAAAAAGGAAUUUGGUGUGAUUAUAAAUGGACAAAUCAAUAUUGUAUGUCAUAGCUGUCAGUAAGAAUGCAAACCACAGGAGGUGACCACUGAAAAAAAAAAAAAAAAGACAAGAAAAACUUAAUUUUGUUGACAUAAUGAAGCCUGAAGAAGCAGAUGAAAUGUCAAAGGCUGAUAUGCUUUUAGGACCUGUAUUGAUUGGGCCAAAACUAUUGGAGUUUCUGGAUCCUUAAGUAAACUAAAAAGUUUGGUGUCAUUUGGAAACCACUUCAUAGUAGGUCUUGUCAUACCAUCAAUGGUUCUGAAUAUUGACAACUCGCAGAAGUUGAGCUGUAUCAAGCUGGAUGAAGGAUAUGCUGUUUAAUAAAGGGAUGUCAUAUUCCUCUUUUAUAAAUAACAUUUUAACUAUUCCAUUUAUCUAAGUAUAUCAUGGGGUUCCAGGUUUAUCCACAUUGGGAACACAGUGAUCUUGGAAUAUAAUUUGAUAUAUUUUGCUAUGGCAAAUUUGGUGCAAUUUCCUGCAAACAACUCUCUGCAGCUAUUAAAUAAUCAGCUUUAAAAUUUUUAAAAAAUUUAAUUUUUUUCUAAUUCUAAAAUCUGAUAUGCACAUUCAUCAAGUGUGAGGAAAAUCUGUCAUAAAUAUUUUCGAAAUAAACUGCUCAAGAAUUUUUGAAAUUUGAUAUUUUUACCAUUGUACUAUUAAUCACUAAUUGUUCUGCUGAUCUGGUUGCUAUGCAACCCAUCAUUUUCAAGUAUGUAUAGCCUGUAAGUACAUAUUUUACAAUUCAAUACUUGAACUGUAUUAUUGAAACCGAUCUUUUACAAGUUUAUACUUAUCUACUUGAUCAUUAUGCCAA